UGGGGUAUAGCCAAGCCGGUUAAGGCAACGGACUUUGACUCCGUCAUUCGUAGGUUCGAGUCCUGCUACCCCAGCCA
rnacentral:tRNA from 3 species